rnacentral:rRNA from 1 species
UACGGGGGGGGCAAGCGUUGUUCGGAAUUACUGGGCGUAAAGGGCGCGUAGGCUGUGCUGUAAGUCAGGCGUGAAAGCCCCGGGCUCAACCUGGGAAUUGCGCUUGAUACUGCGGCGCUGGAAGGUGGGAGAGGAUGGCGGAAUUCCCAGUGUAGAGGUGAAAUUCGUAGAUAUUGGGAAGAACACCGGUGGCGAAGGCGGCAUCUGGCCCACAAUUGACGCUGAGGCGCGAAAGCGUGGGGAGCAAACAGG